rnacentral:hammerhead_ribozyme from 1 species
AUCCAACUGACGUGUCCAAAAUGGGACGAAACGCGCAUCCUGGAU